rnacentral:tRNA from 13 species
CAGCCAGGCGGGUUCGAUUCCCACGUC